rnacentral:rRNA from 1 species
UACGGAGGGUGCAAGCGUUAUCCGGAUUCACUGGGUUUAAAGGGUGCGUAGGUGGGCAGGUAAGUCAGUGGUGAAAUCUCCGGGCUUAACCCGGAAACUGCCGUUGAUACUAUCUGUCUUGAAUAUAGUGGAGGUGAGCGGAAUACGUCAUGUAGCGGUGAAAUGCUUAGAUAUGACAUAGAACACCCAUUGCGAAGGCAGCUCGCUACACUAUCAUUGACACUGAGGCACGAAAGCGUGGGGAUCAAACAGG